rnacentral:rRNA from 1 species
AGAGUUUGAUCAUGGCUCAGAUUGAACGCUGGCGGCAGGCCUAACACAUGCAAGUCGAGCGGUAACAGAAAGUAGCUUGCUACUUUGCUGACGAGCGGCGGACGGGUGAGUAAUGCUUGGGAACAUGCCUUGAGGUGGGGGACAACAGUUGGAAACGACUGCUAAUACCGCAUAAUGUCUACGGACCAAAGGGGGCUUCGGCUCUCGCCUUUAGAUUGGCCCAAGUGGGAUUAGCUAGUUGGUGAGGUAAUGGCUCACCAAGGCGACGAUCCCUAGCUGGUUUGAGAGGAUGAUCAGCCACACUGGGACUGAGACACGGCCCAGACUCCUACGGGAGGCAGCAGUGGGGAAUAUUGCACAAUGGGCGCAAGCCUGAUGCAGCCAUGCCGCGUGUGUGAAGAAGGCCUUCGGGUUGUAAAGCACUUUCAGUCAGGAGGAAAGCGUGGUGGUUAAUACCCAUCAUGUGUGACGUUACUGACAGAAGAAGCACCGGCUAACUCCGUGCCAGCAGCCGCGGUAAUACGGAGGGUGCGAGCGUUAAUCGGAAUUACUGGGCGUAAAGCGUACGCAGGCGGUUUGUUAAGCGAGAUGUGAAAGCCCCGGGCUCAACCUGGGAACUGCAUUUCGAACUGGCAAACUAGAGUGUGAUAGAGGGUGGUAGAAUUUCAGGUGUAGCGGUGAAAUGCGUAGAGAUCUGAAGGAAUACCGAUGGCGAAGGCAGCCACCUGGGUCAACACUGACGCUCAUGUACGAAAGCGUGGGGAGCAAACGGGAUUAGAUACCCCGGUAGUCCACGCCGUAAAACGAUGUCUACUAGAAGCUCGGAGCCUCGGUUCUGUUUUUCAAGCUAACGCAUUAAGUAGACCGCCUGGGGAGUACGGCCGCAAGGUUAAAACUCAAAUGAAUUGACGGGGGCCCGCACAAGCGGUGG